rnacentral:rRNA from 1 species
CCUACGGGAGGCAGCAGUAAGGAAUAUUGGACAAUGCUCGCAAGAGUGAUCCAGCCAUGCCGCGUGCAGGAAGAAUGCCCUAUGGGUAGUAAACUGCUUUUGAACUAGAGAAAACCCCCAGUACGUGUACUGGGCUGAUAGUAUAGUUAGAAUAAGCAUCGGCUAACUUCGUGCCAGCAGCCGCGGUAAGACGAAGGAUGCAAGCGUUAUCCGGGAUUCAUUGGGUUUAAACGGGAGCGUAGGUGGACUGAUAAGUCAGUGGUGAAAUCUCCGAGCUUAACUCGGAAAUUGCCAUUGAUACUGUUGGUCUUGAGUACAGUUGCUGUGGGCGGAAUAUGACAUGUAGUGGUGAAAUACAUAGAGAUGUCAUAGAACACCGAUUGCGAAGGCAGCUCACAAAGCUGUAACUGACACUGAGGCUCGAAAGUGCGGGGAUCAAACAGGAUUAGAUACCCUGGUAGUCCGCACCGUUAAACCGAUGAUUACUCGCUGCUAGGGGGCACCUUUAGUGGCUUAGNGAGNGANAGANCNCGNGGNGAGCGCGAG